UGGCCGCGGGANUAGAGUUUGAUCCUGGCUCAGAUUGAACGCUGGCGGCAGGCUUAACACAUGCAAGUCGUGCGAGAAAGUACCUUCGGGUGCGAGUAGAGCGGCGGACGGGUGAGUAACGCGUAGGAAUCUACCUAGUAGAAGGGGAUAGCCCGAGGAAACUCGGAUUAAUACCGUAUACCUCCUUAGGGAGAAAGAGGGCUUAGCUUUGAUGCUCCCGCUAUUAGAUGAGCCUGCGUAAGAUUAGCUUGUUGGUGAGGUAAUGGCUCACCAAGGCGACGAUCUUCAGCUGGUCUGAGAGGACGAUCAGCCACAUUGGGGCUGAGACACGGCCCAGACUCCUACGGGAGGCAGCAGUGGGGAAUAUUGGACAAUGGGCGCAAGCCUGAUCCAGCCAUACCGCGUGUGUGAAGAAGGCUUUCGGGUUGUAAAGCACUUUAAGUAAGGAGGAAAAGAUUGUAGUUAAUACCUGCAAUCCGUGACGUUACUUACAGAAUAAGGACCGGCUAAUUCCGUGCCAGCAGCCGCGGUAAUACGGUAGGUCCAAGCGUUAAUCGGAAUUACUGGGCGUAAAGCGCGCGUAGGUGGUUUUUUAAGUUGGAUGUGAGAGCCCUGGGCUCAACCUAGGAACUGCAUCCAAAACUAGAUGACUAGAGUACGAAAGAGGGAAGUAGAAUUCACAGUGUAGCGGUGGAAUGCGUAGAUAUUGUGAAGAAUACCAAUGGCGAAGGCAGCUUUCUGGUUCUGUACUGACACUGAGGUGCGAAAGCGUGGGUAGCGAACAGGAUUAGAUACCCUGGUAGUCCACGCCGUAAACGAUGACNACUAGCUGUUGGGAGACAAGAUCUCUCAGUGGCGCAGCUAACGCUUUAAGUUGUCCGCCUGGGGAGUACGGCCGCAAGGUUAAAACUCAAAUGAAUUGACGGGGACCCGCACAAGCGGUGGAGC
rnacentral:rRNA from 1 species